CAGGCUGCCAGUGAGCUUGUGGUGAGCUCCUGCUGGCUCCUGCAGGAGCUGUGGUGGAGGCUCCUCGGGAUCAGGGCAGGUUGUAAUUGUGUCCCCAGGAAGGAAGAAAACCACCCGAGAGUGGCGCUGGGUUUGGGCCCUUCCCUGGGCUUUGGGCUCAAAGCUGGAGGGCCAGUGGGAGAGUGACACAGGAGCUUGGCCAGGGCUCUGUGCCCACAUUGGGGGUGUGCAACACCCCAAAGCCAUGGGGACAUGUUGUGUGUCUGGCCACUGUUGGGGAAGGAGCAGAAGGGGUCCCAGAGCCCCUGCCUGACCCUCGUUUUCAAAGUUUCCAAGUUCAGCCUGUGUGUGGCGGUCAGGUAGCCAACGGGCAGCAGGUGGCGCUCGGCCCAAGGCUGUGGAAGUGCUGGAGCCGUGGUGCUUGGCCAGGUCAGUGGCAGCAGGUCUCCCCGCCUCCAGCCGCCUACUGCCAUGGAGUCGCCAGAAGGUGGCGCUGGGUGGCAAGCGGCUCUGCCUCACGCCUUCUCUGGGAACCAGCCAGAGCUACUGGGGUCACCGCUGAGGCUUGGUGUGCCAGUUAAUGGCAGGCACAGAGGUCCCCACCUGGGGCUGCGAGGCACAUUGAGGAAGUCCUGCCUGGGCCCCCACUGGGAGACCUUUGUCCAUCAGUAGGUGCAGGGUGACCUGGGAUCCACACAAGAGCCCCUCUUAUCUGACCACGCAGAAGGUGCUUUUCUUCCUCCUGGAGGAGGAAACUGAGGGUCAGAGGGGACGGCACUUGAUGCGGUCAUGCUCAGCGAUGUGCCCCUGCAGCGUGAUACCAUGCCCACCCACUGCAACCUGCCAUACCACCAGCCACCCGCGUCCUCAGUCUGGGGCUGGCGCUUGGGGUAGAGUGUUAUUUCUGCUGUGCCCUCAAGGCUGCUCUGCAGGAGGGCGCCCUCCCACAACACUUGUGUCCUAGUCCCCAAGGCUGCCCGAGGUCCCCUUGUGUGGAGAACCCCCGGGGGGAGGUCGGUUACCUGGGACACCCAAGGCCGCCUGUCAGGAGGGUCCUUGGGGAGGGAGGCAGGAGGCCGGAGCCCUCACAUGGGAUGCCGGGGGCGGCAGGGAGUGCAGGAGCAGGUUUGCCGCCACAGCCUGCCAGCCGAGGCCAGGGGAGCUGGGGGCGCAGGCCUUCCCAGAGGCAGCUCUGAAGCCUCAGCUGGGCAGCCACUGCCCUCUGACCCUCCUGCUCCCAGGGCUGUCACCCUCUCCUGGUUGGUGGACACAGAACUGAUGGAGGCCACUUUGGGGA
rnacentral:lncRNA from 1 species